UACUAUGUUUUCAGUUAUAUGAAAGAUAAUUAUUUCAGAUUAGGUUGAAAUAUAUGACUAUUUUUUUUCUACUUGAAGAUUAAAUAUGGUUUAGGAAAAUGUCUAGAAGUGCCAAGUUUUCAAGGGAUAGACAGUAAGAUUUUUGUUGUGUUAACUUGACACAUUAAACUGUGAUGUUGCUGUGAAGAUAUUUUGAGAAGUGAUUAAAGUCCAUAAUCAGUUGACUUUAAGGAAGGGAUAUUAUCUGAGGGUAAUCUAGGUAGGCCUGGUUCAAUCAUUAAGAGGCCUUGAGAGCACAGCUCUUUCCUGAAGAGGAAACUUCACCUGUGGAUGGCUUCAGUCUAUCUUUCCUGAGGACUCAUAUGAUGGAUUUCAGACUUAAAAUCAUGGCUCUGAUCAGGAUGAGAGAACAAGAUGGAGAGUCAGACUUCCGAGUCCCUAGGUUCUCAGCACUUGACCCUCACAACGUGGCAUUCCUUCAGGCUCUGGCCUGACAAAACCAUGGAGUCCCCAGGAGAACCAGAUGUUCGGUCACUGCUGUAAGAAUGUGAGACUGAGAGGUCUACGAACACUCACUGAAUCUCGACAACCACAAACACCCAAUUCAGGGCACCGGAGCCUCUUCCCCAACCUUAGGUGAGGCUUAGAAAAUUUCCUCCGUCCCUCCUGUCUAACCAUUAGGCAGUGCGGCGAUAAGCUAAGGUUGAUCCUUAAACACGAGUCACCUAGUUAACCUCCCUCACCAUGCAAACAGACACAUACAGAAUUUAAGGCCAUAGAAAAUAGACGCCACCAGGGAAUUCUCAGAGAUCAUUUAUUUCAGAGACUUGUGUUAAAAAAUUCUAUAUCUUAGACAAGUCUUGGCCACAAUAUUUUGGCAUUGUGAUCACCUGAUUCUAAAAUAUCAAAUAUUACAGUGCAGUGGAUUUGUGUACACAUCUGUAAGCCCCAGGGGAUAUAAGACCCCACACAACCCCUUUAUAAGAGUAGGGCUAGUAGACAGAAUUGCUACCCACCUUAUAGGAUAAUUUUGUCACAUUAGGCUGUUGCUCUUUGGCAUUAUAUUCCAGGAUCAUUUCUUGAACCAUAGUCAUAUAAAUGGCCACAACAAGGACUUUUGCUUUAUGCAACUUCACUAGGCUCCCUCCUUACCUA
rnacentral:lncRNA from 1 species